rnacentral:RNase_P_RNA from 2 species
UCAGUCGGCCGGGCGGCCGCUCCGGCAAGUACCGAAAGGUCGCCGGGGAGGAAAGUCCGGGCUCCAUCGACAUACGGUGCCGGAUAACGUCCGGCGGGGGCGACCCCAGGGAAAGUGCCACAGAGAACGAACCGCCACGUCUGCGGACGCGGUAAGGGUGAAAAGGUGCGGUAAGAGCGCACCGCGUUUCCGGCAACGGCAACGGCAAGGUAAACCCCACCGGGAGCAAAACCGAAUAGGGACAGCAACGCGGAUAGUUCGCUGCUUGCAGCGAUAACUCCGCAGGGUGAUGUCAAACCCGCUGUCCGGGUAGGUUGCUUGAGGCGGCGUGCAAACGUCGUCCCAGAGGAAUGGCCGCCGCGUAUCGGCUGCGCAAGCAGUCGGUGCCCUCCAGAACCCGGCUUACAGGCCGGCUGAUAUU